CUCCCCCACUUCCCACUCUCUUACAAAGGUCUAUAAAUAGGGAGAGCCAAACCACAUUAUACUACACAGCAAUCCUCUCUUAUAUACAACCUUCAGAAACCAUUACUGUGCUUCCUUUGUAUUAAUAUUGUUCGGAAAAUUAUGGCAUCCUCAAGGACUUUUCUUCUUCUUGGCCUAGUCUUUGCUGUUCUCCUUCUCUCCUCUGAAAUCUCAGCUCAGGACAGCGUAGAACAGGCCAGCGACCAAGCUAAAGGCCAUGAGCAUGGACAUGACCACGGUCACGGAGGGCAUGGACAUGACCACGGUCGUGGAGGGCAUGGACAUCACCACGGUCACGGAGGUCAUGGCCACGGCCAUGAUGGAAAACUGGGAGUUGCAGAGACUCAAACAAAGAAUUAGCCAACCUCUUAGCGUCUAUGUGUGUUGUAAGAGUCGUAUAAUAUGCAAUAAAGUUGUAUUGGUUGAGUAGUUUAUAAACUCUCAAUCAUAUAUAGGCAGCCUUUAAGCUUUAUCUUGUAUUCGCUUAAUCGAUCACCUUAGCAUGUGUUCUCUUAAUCGAUCAUUUUGGUAUGUGUUGCGAUGUGCUUUAAUUUUCUCAGUAAAUAUUUGCAAAGUUAAAAAUGUCAAGCAUUUCAAGUCUA